CCUUUUCACUAGCCAGUACCAAAUGUUUAUUAGAAAUUAUUACAAACUGGAAAUACUGAAAUACAUCAAAAAAUACAACAAGAGGAGGUCUAAUUCUUUGUUCCUCCCUGAGAUAUGGAAUAACUGCCUUAGAGUGUCAUUGCUUCAAAGCCUUUCUCAAACUUGAGUGUAUCAGAGUUCCCUAAGGGCCUCAACAAGACCCGGGGCAGUGCUCACACUCAAGUUACAUAACCAGAAUAGAGAUGAGUGUAGCGUGGAAAUGACAGCCUUUAUGUGUCCAAGUUCAAAGGGAGCUCUUGGGUCCUAAGGCAAGGCUCACCUAGAGGGGACAAAACUUGAGCUUACGAAGACAGUAGAAGUGCAGGAAUAGGGGUUUUACAACUGAAGAGAGAAUAGAAGAAGGGUAAAGGGUGAUAGGAACGCAAUAACCAGUAAAACACAUAGUUGGUAACUUCAUGCAAGGGGUCAAGAGUUGGGGAUUCAUUGCAAAUAGCCUGUGUAAUUGAGGAAAGUCCAGCUUUAGCCAUGAACAUCAAUAGAAAAUGCUGGCCUUCCUAUGAGCCAACCAAAACACACAACAACCAAAGGAAACAUGAAGGUUAUGGUACCAGAAGGACCAAAUUUGAGCCAUGGAUAACAAUGUUUAAUGCUGCCAUGCCCCAUACCAACCACAGUCAUCAAACAUAUUGGGGUGGAGAUUUACAAUGUUCAAACAAUGAUAAAGAGACAAUAAUUCAGAACAAAGAAGGAAGAAUGCAGCAUGCUUAACAAUGGAAAUCAACUAAAUACAACAGGGAACAGACAAAAAGAAAGAAACAGUAAAGAAACAUGUUGUCGUUGAUGCUGAAAACUUAAUUAGAACAUACAAAUCAAAGAAAUAAAGUGCAGUAAUAAAAGCAACAUGACUUCGAAAUAUUAGCCUUGGCUUUCAGCCGGCUAACAGGCAGUAGCACAAGUACUAGUAAAGCAAGAGAGAGUGUUUGAGUGUAAGUGUGAGUUCAGAACUAAAAGUGUUCGUGUGUUUGUAUUAACGAGAGAGUAUGUAUAUAUAGUAGUUUGAAACCAUGUAAAAUAAGGCAAGAGUCACAAUUGUAUAGUAAUUAUUGAAUUCAGAACUAAUUAGAUAAAAAAUCAGUACAAGUACUCCCUUAAUUUAAUGAAAUCAGUUCAAACGGUAAAAACAAGUAACAAAUAAGGAAAGAAAUCAAUAUGUAGACAAGGAAAUAAUUCGAACAUAUUAGGCAUAUAGUAAACCAUUAGGGCUAUGUUCAGAAAAACCCUAUUUAAGGAGAUAGUCAGUAAGAAUCAAGUACCAAUACAGCCAAGGUAAGGGAAUCAAUCAAAUUGAGUAGAAAAGUAUGGGUUAAAGGUCUAAAGUAAAGUGUUCAAAUUAGACCAAGAAACAGGAAAAUCAGAAUCAAUAAAAAAGAAAGCCAUGAGUCAAUGUUUUGCAUACAAAUAAAGUAAUACAUACAUGGUCAAGAGUCGACAUACAACUCUAGCAAACUUGAGAGCCAAACAAUACUGAUUCAAUGAGAAAGACGCAAGUUUUGAACAAUCAAGAUGAACAGAAGCACGUAGACUCAGUAUAAGUUUAGGCUAAGAAACUGAGUAGAAACAUGUCAAAUCAAGAUAGUCACGAAAAAUCACAGAAACUAAAAAAUGAGAACUGGCCAGUCGUGCUGAUACACAAAACCAAAUAAAGAACCCCCUAAUAUUAGGCUUUCAACAUAGACGAACUAAUAUGUAGAAAACACAUAUAUUUAGUCAAGAUAUGCAAGAAAAAUAAUUUAAAACACAAUGAAUAAGUUAAACGAGGUUUUAGAAGAAGUUCUGAAAAUCCUAGUUUAGAAGAAGAUGAAAAACACUUGAAACCACAUGAUUCUUGUAAAAACCUUAAGGAUAGUGUAAAACAUUCGAGAAACAAACUAAGAUCAUCCUAGAUCUGUACAGAUCUAGCAGAUAUAGGAAAGAAAUUUGGGUUUCGGAAGAAACCAUACUGAGACGAAGAAACCUGUCUAGGAACUCAAAGACCGUGUCAAAUAUUGAAUGAUUCUGCUUGAAAUCACACUGAAAUAACCAAGAACAGGCAGGAGAUGAAUCCUAGAUGCAGGUCAACAUGGACCCAUGCACUUGAAGACCUUAGAUAAGGCAAGCAUAGCAUGAGAGAAGCCAUUGAAGGCUUAAGAGACGAUGAGAGGUCACCGGAGAUGGCUGGAGAUGGGAGGUCGGCCUUUGGAAAAUAGGGUUAGGUUGAGAGUGUUUUCAGAGAAGAGAGGAUUCUAGGCCGGCGGC
rnacentral:lncRNA from 1 species